AUGGGCUCGAUCCCGAGCAGCCAGCCACAUCUAGCCUCCAGCCGCCCGAGGCCGCAUCAGCUACUCAAGGCCCCGCGCGCCCCUGCUCCUCCCCAAGCAUGCUCCCGCGCCGCCGGCAGCCGCCUUCGUCCGCGGCCACAUGAGCCAGCAGCAGCGUUGCCCCGCCCGAGCUCCUGGCCUGUGCGCCUCCUGCCCGACCACGCCUCGUCCCAGCCGCCCGCUCACCGCAGCUCCACGCCACACGCCGCCUGCCGCAGGAAGCAGGACCUGCCCGCGGCCCCUUCCCCUUCUCCUGUCUGCGGAUCUCGCCGGAUCCGGUGUCGGGUGGGGGCAAGUGAGGUAGGUUGUUAUUUUGAGGUGUUUUUGGCAAAAAGAACCCCUCUAACGCCAUCUCCGAUGAUGUUAUGCCACGUCAGCAAAAUACGGGACCCACAUGUCAUAAACGCGCUCAAUCGGCCCUAA
rnacentral:rRNA from 1 species